GAGAGAUCAUGUGAAGGAAAUUCCAGCAAAGCAAAAGAUGGAGCGACAACAGACAUUAACUAGAGAGCACAACGAGGAGCAUAAAGCUGCUCUACAGAGAGCUGUCACCUUGGCUGUUCCACAUGCUUUUUCACCUUCUCAUUACGGAACUUUUGAUGAACUAGAGGAAGAACAGUCUGAUACAUCAGUUCGGGAUUCAUCCCCAGGGUCAUCAAGUAGAAGCAAGACCAAAGAUAACUGGGAUGAACUGAUUGAGCGUCUAUAUGAGAAGGAUGAAUCAGGUCAUAAGAUAUUAAUAAGAUCAAGAUCCCAGUGAUACACAAUGUUAUAAACUCAUCAUUCUUUGAUUAAACCAUAGUUCUUAUAAUCUCAUUUGAUUGACACUAUGGUCCUUUUUUUUUUUAUUUG
rnacentral:misc_RNA from 1 species